UGACUGCUAUCGGAAUGAUACUAAGCCAUGCGAGUCAUUGUAGCAAUACAAGGCAGACGGCUCAGUAACGCGUAGUCAAUCUACCCUAUGGACGGAGACAAUCUCGGGAAACUGAGAAUAAUAUCCGAUAGAACAUUAUGCCUGGAAUGGUUUAUGUUUCAAAUGAUUUAUCGCCAUAGGAUGGGACUGCGGCCUAUCAGUUUGUUGGUGAGGUAAUGGCCCACCAAGACUAUUACAGGUACGGGCUCUGAGAGGAGUAGCCCGGAGAUGGGUACUGAGACACGGACCCAGGCCCUAUGGGGCGCAGCAGGCGAGAAAACUUUGCAAUGUGCGAAAGCACGACAAGGUUAAUCCGAGUGGUUUCUGCUAAAGAAACCUUUUGUCAGUCCUAGAAACACUAACGAAUAAGGGGUGGGCAAGUUCUGGUGUCAGCCGCCGCGGUAAAACCAGCACCUCAAGUGGUCAGGAUGAUUAUUGGGCCUAAAGCAUCCGUAGCUCGUUUUGUAAGUUUUCGGUUAAAUCCAUGCGCUUAACGUAUGGGCUGCCGGGAAUACUGCAUAACUAGGAAGUGGGAGAGGUAGACGGUACUCGGGAGGAAGGGGUAAAAUCCUUUGAUCUCUUGAUGACCACCUGUGGCGAAGGCGGUCUACCAGAACACGUUCGACGGUGAGGGAUGAAAGCUGGGGGAGCAAACCGGAUUAGAUACCCGGGUAGUCCCAGCUGUAAACUAUGCAAACUCAGUGAUGCAUUGGCUUAUGGCCAAUGCAGUGCUGCAGGGAAGCCGUUAAGUUUGCCGCCUGGGAAGUACGUACGCAAGUAUGAAACUUAAAGGAAUUGGCGGGGGAGCACCACAAGGGGUGAAGCCUGCGGUUCAAUUGGAGUCAACGCCGGAAA
rnacentral:rRNA from 1 species